rnacentral:rRNA from 1 species
GACGAACGCUGGCGGCGGGCUUAACACAUGCAAGUCGAGCGGAAAGGCGCUGCUUUCGCGGGGUGCUCGAGGGGCGAACGGGUGUGUAACACAUGAGUAACCUGCCCUGGACGGUGGGAUAACUUCAGGAAACUGGGGCUAAUACCGGAGAGGAGCUCCUGCUGCAGGGGGGGGGUUGGAAAGUUUCGGCGGUGGGGGAUGGACUCGCGGCUUAUCAGCUGGUGGGUGGGGUAGUGGCCUAGGAAGGGUUUGGCUGGUCGCCGGCCUGGGAGGGGGGUCGCGCUCCUUGCGCCUGCGGUACGCACCAGAGUGGUACGUGGGGCAGCAGGGGGGAACAUUGCCCAGUGGGCGGACGCGUGAUGCAGAGACGCCGCGUGCGUGAUGACGGCCUUCGGGUUGUAAACCGCAUUAGCUUGUGACGAAGCGUGAUUGACGGUACUGGGUGAAGAAGCACCGGCUAACUACGUG